GACGAACGCUGGCGGCGUGCCUAACACAUGCAAGUCGAGGGAGAAAGUCCGCAAGGAUGAGUAAACCGGCGAACGGGUGCGUAACACGUGGAUAAUCUACCUUCCUGACUGGGAUAACUGGCCGAAAGGCUUGCUAAUACCAGAUAAGCCCACGGGGGCUUUGGCCUCCGAGGGAAAAGGUGGCCUCUGCAAGCAAGCUAUCGCAGGGAGAUGAGUCCGCGGCCCAUCAGCUAGUUGGCGGGGUAAAAGCCCACCAAGGCGGCGACGGGUAGCUGGUCUGAGAGGAUGAUCAGCCACACUGGAACUGCGACACGGUCCAGACUCCUACGGGAGGCAGCAGUGGGGAAUCUUGCGCAAUGGGCGAAAGCCUGACGCAGCAACGCCGCGUGUGUGAUGAAGGUCUUCGGAUCGUAAAGCACUGUCGCGAGGGAAGAUACGCCACCGGCUAACAUCCGGUGGCUGAGACGGUACCUCGAGAGGAAGCACCGGCUAACUCUGUGCCAGCAGCCGCCGUAAUAC
rnacentral:rRNA from 1 species